UUUCUUGGCCACUUGUCUGUCUUAUUUUGAGAUGUGUCAUUCGUAUCCUUUGCCCACAUUUUUUUUUUUUUUUCUGAGAUGGAGUCUCACUCUGUUGCCAGGCUGGAGUGCAGUGGCAUGAUCUCGAUUCACUGCAGCCUCUGCCUCCUGGAUUGAAGUGAUUCUUCUGCCUCAGCCUCCUGAGUAGCUGGAACUACAGGCACGUGCCACCAUGCCUAGCUGAUUUUUGUAUUUUUAGUAGAGACGGUGUUUCACCAUGUUGGCCAGGAUGGUCUCGACCUCUUGACCUCGUGAUCCACCUGCCUUGGCCUCCCAGAGUGCUGGGAUUACAGAUAUAAGCCACUGUGCCCAGCCCUCUUUGCCCACUUUUUAAUGGGGUUAUUUGUCUUUUGCUUAUGGAAUUGUUUUAAGUUCCCUAUAGAUUCUGGAUAGUAGACCUUUGUCAGAUGCAUAGUUUGUGGAUAUUUUCUCCCAUUCUGUACGUUGUCUGUUUACUUUGUUGAUAGUUUCUUUUGCUGUGCAGAAUCUCUUUAGUUUAAUUAGGUCCUUCUUGUCCAUUUUUGUUUUUUUUUUUUGCAUUGCUUUUGGAGACUUAGUAAUAAAUUAUACUCCAAGGCCUGUGUCCAGAAUGAUAUUUCCUAGGUUUACUUCUAGGAUUUUUAUAGUUUGAUGUCAUACAUUUAAGUCUUUAAUCCAUCUCGAGUUAAUUUUUGUAUAUGGUGAAAGGAAGCUGAUGUUAUAAACUCACCACGGUUCCAUCUGUGCACAGGACCCAUGAGCCUCUAGGGAAGUACUACCCUCAGAGAAGAGAAUAUGAAGAGUCCCCAUUUGGCCCAAAGACGCCUAAAUACCUGACGUGUGACAGCAAAUGCCUGUUCCCAUGGAGCCGCUGCUUCUGAGAAAGCUUGAAACAGACAAAGAAUAAGGUAGAAAUGACCUCCUCACUAGAGAUGAAAAGAAGCUGUCCUGGUGAGGAAAUUGGAUCCCAGCUUUUGCCGCUAAGAUUCUUCUCUUCUGCCUCUGGUUUUCUUUAUUGUUCACCCCCAGAAGCAAUCGCUCUCUCACAAGGCAACACACGCAAUAGAGUGAACAGUGAUUCUACAGUCUGAUUCUGGAAAAGGCGACCACAUUGGAAAGAGUGAUCCACACAAGUAUAGGGCCUCCUGAUUAAAACGCUAAGAUUUCAUCUCACGCUGUGCCUUUAUACUGUUGAGAUACUAAAGAGGACACUAAAGAUCAAAGUGCUACUUUACAACAUUUUGAAGAAAACAACUGCUACCUGUGUAUUAGUUUGUUCAGAUGUGUUACACAGCUUAGCUGUGUCUGUACCAGUUUAUUAGAAUCAAAGUAUUUUUAAAGUACCUAAGGCCAGGCACAGUGGCUCACACCUGUAAUCCCAGCACUUUGGGAGGCUGAGGCAAGUGGAUCACUUGAGAUCAGGAAUUCAAGACCAGCCUGGCCAACAUGGUGAAACCCCAUCUCUACUAAAAAUACAAAAAUUAGCCAGGCAUGGUGUCACAUGCCUGUAAUCCCAGUGACUCAAGAGGCUGAGGUAUGAGAAUCAAUCAUUUGAACUCAGAAGGAGAGGUUGCAGUGAGUGGAGAUUGCAACACUGUACUCCAGCCUGGGUGACAGAGUGAGAUCCUGUCUCAAAAAAAAAAAAAAAAAAAAAAAAAAGUACCUAAAACUUGUGAUACGGUUUGGCCUUGUCCCCACCCAAAUCUCAUAUUGAAUUGAAUUAUGAGGAGAGGUCUUUCCUGCGCUGUUCUUAUGAUAGUGAAUGAGUUUCAUGAGAUCUGAUGGUUUUAAAAAUGGGAGUUUCCCUGCACAAGCUCUCUUUUGUUGCCUGCUGCCAUCCACGUAAGAUGUGACUUGCUCCUCUUUACCUUCCACCAUGAUUUUGAGGCCUCCCCAGUCCUGUGGAACUGUAAGUUCAAUAAACCUCUUUCUUUUGUAAAUUG